UCGCCCUCGCGCACUCGGAGCAGCGAGCUGUUGAACUGCUUCAUCAGGCGGAAGCUUGUGUCUCCGGAUACUUUCAUAUGCAGGUCCUCAGCUAGGGUCCCGAUGACCGUACCAGGAGCGUCCUCCUCGAAGGGCUGCUCAGAGAAGCAACACUCAUCCCGUUCCAGAAGAACAAAAUCACAGCAUGACGUUGAAACCUGGCACUAACCUGGGGGAACUUAACCAUCUGCCUACAAACGUGUGGAGCUUUGGUAUUGCCAAACUCUGGGCUGGGUGGGUCCCCGGACUGGCCAGGCUUUGCGGUGCCCCCUCCCCUCACAGGUAUUUCCCUCACCCCCACAAUCCAAAGACCCAGGGAGGUGGAGCUCCAAGCAGGAGCAAGACGAAUUCUUAUUGAAGAGCUUUAUUGAACGGGUUAUGCAAAUACGUAUGAAGAAGGAGAGAUAAAAGCAAAAGCCACGCACUGCAAGAAAAAAAAUUUUUAAGGUGAUGGAUUUGAUAAGCAGACUGUAUUUAGUAAAUAUUCUUCUGAAUCCAGAUUUUAGUCCUGCUGUCAGCGUCCAAUCUGUGUUUUCCUUUCCCUCAGACAUGAGUGAUUAUGUCCUGGGGUCUUUUCAGAAGACAUUCAGGGGCUCUCCUCCACCCCACUCCGGCUCCGCAGGGUGAGCAAGCAGGCUCACUCCAUUGGAUAAACCUUCCAGGGAAGUUUGCAGCAAGUGCUCCUCCAAGCAGAGAACAGAGGCAGCUCUUCAGAAGCAUCCACUUCAUUCUUGUAAGGAAAGCACACUUUGUAGAAAUCUCUUAGAAUUUCUAAGUCACUGAGUUUUGCUGGUGUUUGCUCUCUAGAAAUGCAACCAAGCUCUUUCCUACACUCCAGAUGCUAACUUAUAUUUUUUUAAAAUGCACCUCCCUUUUUUAUUGGGCUGUUGAUGCUGGCAGAGUGACUUUUAAACUUUGAUUUCAACCACAGAGUAACAUCCUUCGUAGCCCUGAUUCAAACUCAGCAGUCAGACGAGACAGUUUGGGGGUGAAGGUAACUGUUGUUUAAACAUUGAUUUUGGAUUGAUCCCAGUGCCAGAUGCUCACAAAUCAUGGACCAUUUCCAAGUCUUGGGUUACUCAUCCUUUUUUGUGUUCUGUGUGUCGGGAUGCUCUGGGAUGCCUGCUUAACCUGAUAAGAAAUGAAACAUAGGCUGGGACUGCAGGCAUUGAAUCAUCCUGCUUGUGUUCAAAUCUGAUACCACUGAAUUGCUGUGUAACCCUGGGCAAGUUACUUGAUCUCUCUGUAAAUGGGGAUAAUACUAAUACCUUGUAAAGUUGACUUAAGGACUGUGUAAGAAUACAGUAUCAGGUACUUAGGAAGCCCUGAACACAUGUUAAUUAUCAUUUCCUUUUAAAGCACAAGGAGGUAUCAUCUAAACCUCUUAUUUUACAGGUGAGGUAUUUAUUCAGAAAGACAAAAUACAAAACAAAACAAAAGAACAACCCUCCCACUUCCUGUCUGCUUCUUUGCUUUAGUUUUAACUAUCCUUCUGAUUCUUUUUUUCCUCCUACCCUUCUGGAAAUAAUAAUAGGUAUAGUGGUGGGUGUAUAGAUCCCCAUGGAAGGAGAGACAUGGUCAUGUGAGGGUUAAGUCACUUUAAUGCUUUCAUGUCAUUUCAAAAUCUUUUGGAAACUUACUCUCUGGUUGAGAUUAGAUGAUGGCAAAAAGGAGUUUCCAGUGGACUUAUCCACCAUCCUUUUCUACAAAAGCCAUUUAUCAUGACUGAAACCACCUACAGACACAAAUAUUGAAUGGACACCAACACAUAAUUCUGGGGGAGCAGGACUAUUCCAGAAGGCCUUCCCUCUUAGGAUGCUCAGGAGUAGCUGGUGACUUCCUGUACCUUACGUGGAGCCAGUGUUUGACUCUGUGCUUCCCCUCAGCAUUAGUUCACCAGGACUGCCAGAAACUUUGUGGUUUAAACAAUAGACAUUUAUUUUCUCACAGUUCUGGAGGCUGGAAGUCCAACAUCAAGGUGUUGACAGGUUCCUUCUGAAGGUUGUGAGGGAGAAUCUGUUCUAUGCUUCUCUGCUAGCUUUAUUUAAAGAAGGAGAAGGAGAAGAGAGAGGAGGAGGAGGAAAAGGAGGAGGAGGAGGAGGAGGAGAAGAAGAAGAAGAAGAAGAAGACGACGACGAUGACGAUGGCGGAGAAAAAUAGACUCCGUAUGCCAGCCCGUAGGUGGGACACAGAUGAAGAAGGAUACCACAGUCGCAUAUGAGGAUUGCUGUGAUGAAGGCCUAUGCUGCAGUCUAUCACAGUCAUUGUUCUGUAAGUGCUGAAGACUUCUGACUCAGGCCUUCUUUAGCGUCUGAUGGCUUGAACUCGCCUGCUCCAAGUGGGUCACAAUCCACUUUUGAAAUGGAAAUGAAGUCUGCAUGGCAGCCUCACCCUCAGAGCCCUGGGACCCAGGCCCAGCCAGGGCACCGCAGAGCCUGGUGUUAUAAAUUUCUGCGUAGAUCUGAGAGCAGUUUUAGGCCAUUGAUCUCAUGUCACCCAGAAUCGAGAUGGAGUGACGGCUGAUAAACUGCAUGGUGACAGGCUGCGGCCUUGGAAGAAAAAAGUCUAGAUGUGGGAUAAAAGAAAAAAAAAGCUGAUGGAUUCGUUAUCGGCCUCCCAAUUCUUCUCAUCCUGGAUUAUUUCCGAACACUUUAGAAGCAUUUAUUUUCAGCCCCCAACAGGAGGAAACCCAGCCUGGGGUCAAGGCCUAGAGGAUCCACAGAGACUUGCAAAUGGGCUACAAGGCACACCGGUGGGAACUGUGGGCCCAGCUUUUCCCAGCUGACCGACACUCAAAUGAUCGUUGCCACCCGCACACUCAGCCAUAUUAAGAUAAGCUGGGGGCUGCAACCAUUUCCAGGGAAGAUCUGCAGAGUGAUUCUCAAAGCAUGGUUCUGGGACCAGCAGCGUUAACAUCACUGAGAAUUUGCUGGGAUUGCAAGUACCGAGGCCCCACUCCAGACCUACUGAAUCAGAAACUCUGGGAAUUAUGUCCAGCAAUCACGUUUAACAAGCCCUUCAGGUAAUGUACAGUACAGUUUGAGAACCAGUGUUAAGAUGCCACAUUGCUUACAAGAAUUUUCAGAGGAGAAGACCCUGGAUCCUGGCAGCUUCUGGGGCCUGCCCCAAGUCCCUGGAGCAUGUUGCUCAAUGGAUGGUUUCAGCUGUGAGUCAGGGAGAUGAUCCCAAGAAGGGGUUUGAAGGAUGGCAACUUCAGGUGAGGAAAAGCAGGAGCAAAUGAUCCAUCUCCUGGGGGUGAUUGUUUGACUUUAUGCAAAUGUUCUAAGCAAUAAAACCAGUCAGUGAUGUACAGGAAAUAUAUGCUCCCCAUGCCGAGUGGUCUAAAUAGAUCGUUAUCAGGGAUUGGGCUUCAGAACCCCUAUUACACGAAGCCUUAAUGGCAUGAUAUAUACCACACCUGCUAAAUGAAAUGCAUAUGGGGACAUUAUGGGAGUUUUCAAGAGCAUUUUAUUUUGCAUAAUAUAGUUUUUUUUUUUCCAGACCAGAAAUGGUAUAUUAAAAAGUCAGCAGGUAUAUAGCUUGUUUUAAAAUUAUUACUUUACUCUGGCUUUGCAGACUUUUAUUUUCUUCCUCCUGCUGCUAUUGCACAGAAGUGCAGAAUAUCCUAUCCAGAAAGGAUCCUAGAGAUAAGUGAGUCUACUCUCUGCACUUUAUAGGUGAGGAGCUGAUGCCAGAGAUGUGAGGUGAUUUGCCCCGAGUGAGGGGCUGGGGCGGGUACCCACGAGGCCUGAAUCUCAGAUCCCAGGGUUCCCACUGAUUUCUUUCAGGAAUCCCAGGCCAAGUAAGGGACCUGGGAAAGUGGCCUUGUGCAUUCUCUUGCUUGCAGACAGCUUCAGAGGAGUGGCGGGGGGUGCGGUGAUGUCAUUCACACGUGUGUACAAACCCUGAUGCAACAGCCAGAACGUAUGUAGUUCAGUCAGAAGCAUCUCUCAUUCACACCGAGGCUUAGAACUCAGGCUCUAGUAAGCCAGAGCCGCCGUCCCUGCAUUCCAAGUAUGCAUCACAUGUUUGGUUGUAGGCAACGUGCCUUCUCCUAGGGCUGGCUGGCUUCACGGGCUGAUGACCCGUGCAGUGGCGUGGUCGCCGUGCGUACAGGGACCCCGGGCUUGCUUUCACACUCUGUUGUCAUGGUCUUGAAAGUCUGAAUAAUUCUUGAAGAAGGGGACCUGCUUUUUUAUUUUGCACUGGGCUCUGCAAAUUACGAAGCCGGUCUUUCACCACAUCUCCCAUACCCUCGCCCGUGCAUCCUUUGAAACUCAGCUUCUCCAAAAAGCUUUCUCCGAUUCUCCCAGGAGUGUGUUAUGUAUCAUAAUAUUAAUUGUGUUAAUGCCAAACAUUACUUGCUUUCUUCCUGCAGGCCAACCCUGUGAGGUAGAUACUAUCAUUGUCAUCAUGCCCACUUAACAGAUGAGGAGACUGAGGCUUAGUGAGAGGUGGACUGGCUCCAGGUCACAUGGCUAGGAAUUGGGGUUAGAAGCUAGGUCUGCUGGACUCUGGAGAACAAAGACUUAACCUCCAAGCUUUACAACCUCCCUGUGUUAUCUGUUCAGUGCUUAACACUCUGUGAUGUGUCCUCGUUUCUCCUAUUCUACUGUAGGGGAAAGACUAUGUCCUUUGUUGCAGGCACCAUGCCUAGCACAGACAGGGUGCUCGAUGCAUAUUUAUGUAAUGAAGGACAUUUGGCUAAAUUUAAUGUGAAUAGCACAUUUAAUAGCCACAUCAGAACUUCCUGCAAACCAAAGAGGCUUCCAGGUUUGUGUUGAAAUUUUUCCUGUGAGUAGAGCAGUAUAGUAUGGCUGGUGGGGGCUUUGAGAUACCUUACAUUUGACUUCAUGAAUUAUUUAUGGAAUUAACACGGGGAAUGAUCAUUAAUUUGUGGAUGGAGAGAAGCAGCUAUGUGGCUUGCUGCCCAUGGUUUUCUGGCAGGGAUAAAUUGCCUUCACAUCGGCCGCUGGGUGAAGACUCGGGAUGCUGGUUUCCAGGGGAGACAAAGCACUUCAGUCCCCUCUUGCCUUCUCUUUCCCCAGCGGAAAAAUCUGGGAAGUGCAAGUUACACAGACUGGCACAGACUGGUGGCUGUGAGCCAACUCAGCUUUCCUCAACAUGUAGGUAACACACGUUUGCUGAGCACUUCCUGGGUGUGCAUGCAUAUGCUAGGUAUGGGGACACAACCGAAAAGGAAUGUAAAUAAUUGCAUUGUCAGAUGAUUCGUGGCAAAAAAAGGGCAUGUUGUCAAUGCCGUGGACAGUGGUAGGGGGAGAUUCUGGGUGGUGGGGGUUCUUGCCCGAGCCACGUCUUCCAGGGCAAAAAUGAGUUAGUCUAGCUGGAGACAGGGUAGAAGUGUAGAGGGGCAGGCUUUCCAAUUGGGAGAACACUGAAAAGGGUUGGGGAAAGACCUGUUAAUAGUAGAAAUACUGGCAUAGGAGGAGGGGCCCUCAGAGAUGACUUGUGGGGGCUCAGGAAGAACCUAGGAAAUGAAUGUUGGUUGUGCCAAUGGCUUGGGGUUUGUCCUGGAGGCCAGCCAUGUUGGUGGUAGAUGGAUCCAGUGAUGUCAGUGGUCAGUUGUAUCUCCUGAGCCAUCAUUCCAAGGUCUUCAUUCCAGGUGAGCACUGGCUUUGUGGGCUCCUGGGUCCCCAAAGCCUGGGGCAAGGGCAGGGGUGAGGGAAGAGGGAGGCAUGCCUGUCUAGACUGGGGGCAGGGAGCAGGAGGAACUGUUGCUGAGUUCAGCAAGUUUGCUUUCUGAGACCCACUGUAUUUUUGCAAUCUCUUUCCCAUUUUCUUCAAAGCAUCAUGAGGAAAUACAACCGCGGCUGGGUUCAGCAGCCCUCGCUUUUGAGCAAUAAACUACAAAUGAUCACAGUUUACUUUGAUGCUUUCGGAACCCCCCCUACUAGUCGCUGUGGUUUCUUGCCAUUUACUAGCUGGAAAGUCGCCUGUGUGCACAUGCUUUGCCUCUGGAAUGAGCCCUUGCCUCUCGGAGCUUGUCUUAACAUGUUAUUUAUUCUGCACUUCUUCUUCGGGCUCGAGCAGCGCUCUGGGCUCCCGGGCUGCCGCGACCACACUUAGGGGUCCAACCCUGCUGCCCCAGCCUUUACGGGAGAAAAGACUGUUCUCGACUCCAUUUAUUUCCAGGUAGAAAAGAAUCAGAGAGCCCUGCAGGGUGAAGGCGAAGGCAAGGCACUCCAGAUAAGUGUUUUUUCUUUUUUUCCUCUGUAUUACUUAUUUAUUAAAGCCAGUGAGGCAUAACUAAGGGAAGGGAAGGGAACCGAGGAAAUAGAGAAUACAAUGGCCCCUCAGAUUUUAAUGGGAGAGAUGGCUGGAAGUGAUUCCUAAAUUAUUAAAUAAAUCGAUUUGAUUCUUGAAGCCGGCCUCCAAGGUAUAUUUGUCAGUUUCAUUAUCAUGGUCUUCAAGGGGAGGAAGAGUCACUCAUGGAGAAAGUUUUAUUAUUUUUCCCCCCUCUAUUUUAUUUUGAAGGCUGCAGUUCACGGCCCCUGUCUAAUUAAACAGUAGCUUCUUUACGUGACAGGGGCAGCGUACUUUCCAUUUUUCUUUUGGCUUCCAUUCUCGAUCCAUUUGGUCUCACAGGCCCCCAGACGUGUAACAAGAUCAGGUCGGCUGUAGGGCACGUGCACUUUGGAGAACUUGAUCCCAUCUCAAUUACAGGUCCGUGUGGCCACAGAUGAGCUCUAUGGUAAUUUGUCCACGCACACGUGCGUCCUGUCUGUUAGCUAGUCGCCUAACAGAAUCUGCUGAGUGUUAGAAUAAUAGGCUGUGCCGUCCUGAAUGCCAAGAAUAACACCUUAAUACCCUUCAGGGAAAUCAUUGAUUUUAUUUUGGGGCUUUGGUGGUGGCUGCAGUGGCAUUUGCUCCUUUCUCUCACGUUUCCCUCUCUCCCCCUCAACUCCUCUACCGCCUCCAGCCCAAUGGUAAAAAAAUGCCUGAACAUCUAAAUUCUUUUUCUUAAUUAUCCUCCCGAGGAAAGCAGGCCAAGCACCAGGGUGCAAAAAAUUUAAGCCAUAAAUAACGAGCCGAAAGGAAAUAAAAGAAAUGACACCAGAAUAAAGUAAGCUAUUAACUGAAAGCUUUACGUCUCCGUCCUUCUCGGGUCUGAAAAAUCUAAGGGAAGGUGGCUAAGUAUUUAUUUUGCAAAGAAUGUCAUUAUCAUCCGCAGCAGUUAAAAAUGGAUGAAGGAAACAUUUCCCCACGAUUUCUGGUGGUACUACAGACCCUGACUCAUGAAACAUUUUGGGGAACAAAGUUCUUCCUCCACCCCCGAGGACAAGUAGUGCUAAAGAACAGAUCUGGGUCCCUUGGUGGGGGGGGGGGGCGGUAUCGCUGCCAUCUGAGUCUGGGGUGGAGGGCAGGAAUGGGAGAAGGGAAGUGAGGAAAGUCAUGGAUAGCGAUUGAAUGCUUCCCAAGACAGAGGAGUGUUCCUGCCUGGAUCUGCUGCAAAACUGUCUUUCAAGUUCGUACACCUGGUGUAAAGAACUCCAUUCACACCUGCAAACCUAUCACGUUUCCAGUUUUUGGUGUGUCUUUCAAUUUCCUGGAUGCUUCCCAAGCUCCAGGGUGGAAACAAGGCGUGUGCGUGUUGGUGACACAGAACACGGAUGGCGAGGGCCCUGAAGGUGAAGGUGUCCAUCCAGCGCCUGGAUGCAGGAAGGAGGACUCUUCUUCUCCCCAGUUUCCCCGGGCAGCCAGGCUGACGCCUGCCGAAUCCCCUCCAGCCACUUCGAGGCCUGGGGCAUCCUUGUGGUCUCAACUCUGCUUUGUCGGGUGGGCCAGUCCCCAGACUGCUGGGACUGAGCAGAGCCCCAGAGCGUGUGUGUUGUGUGUGCACCUGCACACGUGCAUGCGUGUGUGAGUGUGGCUGGGAGGCGCACACCAGCCAGCCCACCGAGCGGGGGUCAGAAGUGGGCUCAGCGUGAGACACCGGGAAGGCUGGUUUUCCCGCACAGCUGAAAGGGAGUUCGGCGAGCACAGCAAGGUGCCGGAGAGUGUGUAUUAGAAGUCUCGGUUUUGUAGAGCACGCUAUGAGAAGACACUCAAAGUCUGUCUGUGUGUAUGUAGGACUGUACUGGAUUACGUAAGUGGGAAGGUAAGUCUAGGACACAUGCCGUGUUCUUAAAAUGUGUGAAGGGGACGGGUGUGACAAUGGGGCGAUGCUGAUACCGAUACAGGGUGUGGUACGGUGUUCACGAUAACAGCAUUGAUUGUACGACCCCAUUUAUGCAAAACUAAUGUUUAUAUAUGUAUUAAAGUUUAACUGCUUUACUCUACUCUGCUCAUCUUUCCUCCAAAAGUGCUUUCUCUGAAAAAUCUCCUAGUGCCAGGUACCAAGUGCUCAGUUUUAUGUGGGCUCUUUUCCUGCAGCAUUUAGGGUCACUGCUCUGCUGCUGCAUUUUAUGGCUUGAGCCGAGAAAGAGCAGAGCCGCUUUGCCUCAGGGAAAAGCUGUUAUUAACUGCUCUUUCACCCUCCCCUUCGUCCUGAUCAAGGGGACAGGGGUGGGAAAGAAGGCUUUCUGGAAGAGCCUGACUCCUCUUAAAUGGAUGUGGUGCCCUCUGGCAGACAGACGUGGUCUGUAGGGAGAACUCAGGAGACCCCAGCUGGGACUGUCUGGCCUCUGAAGGCUGUGUGGGCUUCUCCCAUCACCCCCUCGGGAGGGAACAGACUUUCUAGGAAGCAGAGCUAGGAUCUGGAGAUGGAAAUGACAGGGCAGCAGUUUUCAGCUCAACAUAAGAGGGGCUUUCUAACCACCUCAGCUGAUGAUCGGCUCAGCCACUUUGUGGCGGUGGGGUAGGGGUCUCAUCCUUGGUGAGGUUCAGGAUCAAGUGGCACCUUGGUCAAGAUUCCUGCACCGUGUGGCCCUGGGGAUUAUAAGAUCUCUAGGGUUGCACCAUCCGUUGUAGCCUAGCCACAUGUGGCCACUGAGUCCUAGAAACGUGUCCACUGAGUCCCAGAAAUGUGGCUAGUGCAACCGAAGAACUGAAUUUUU